AAAUGACUCUCGGCAACGGAUAUCUAGGCUCUUGCAUCGAUGAAGAACGUAGCGAAAUGCGAUACUUGGUGUGAAUUGCAGAAUCCCGUGAACCAUCGAGUCUUUGAACGCAAGUUGCGCCUGAAGCCAUUAGGUUGAGGGCACGCCUGCCUGGGCGUCACAC
rnacentral:rRNA from 1 species